CCGAGAUAUUUCAAUUUGGUUGAUAUGUAAAUGAGUGUGAAUAUGUCCGCUAAUUUAUGACGUCAUGUUGGUUGCAAGCUCUUCAAAAUGGUUGAAUAUCACUGCUAUCAUCCAAGAUGAUAAUUUCAAACUUCACUCACUGGUAAAUGUGAUGAAACACUGUAGAAAAACGUGAACAGAUAUCUACAGUUUUUAGAGUUAAUAGAUUUAUAACUAGGGUACCUGCAAGGUAGGGAUUGCUGCGGGCAUUAAAAGCAAAUAGAACUACAGUAAACAGUACAAAUUAUAUCAAGCACAGUGAUUACUCGCAGCGACUAGUGAGCUGUGAAUGGAACUGAGAAGAAGC